UACGGAGGGAGCUAGCGUUGUUCGGAAUUACUGGGCGUAAAGCGCACGUAGGCGGCUUUGUAAGUUAGAGGUGAAAGCCCGGGGCUCAACUCCGGAACUGCCUUUAAGACUGCAUCGCUUGAAUCCAGGAGAGGUGAGUGGAAUUCCGAGUGUAGAGGUGAAAUUCGUAGAUAUUAGGAAGAACACCGGUGGCGAAGGCGGCCCACUGGAUCGGUACUGACGCUGAGGUGCGAAAGCGUGGGGAGCGAACAGG
rnacentral:rRNA from 1 species